UGCCUAUACAUGCAGUCGAACGAACUCUGGUAUUGAUUGGUGCUUGCAUCAUGAUUUACAUUUGAGUGAGUGGCGAACUGGUGAGUAACACGUGGGAAACCUGCCCAGAAGCGGGGGAUAACACCUGGAAACAGAUGCUAAUACCGCAUAACAACUUGGACCGCAUGGUCCGAGUUUGAAAGAUGGCUUCGGCUAUCACUUUUGGAUGGUCCCGCGGCGUAUUAGCUAGAUGGUGAGGUAACGGCUCACCAUGGCAAUGAUACGUAGCCGACCUGAGAGGGUAAUCGGCCACAUUGGGACUGAGACACGGCCCAAACUCCUACGGGAGGCAGCAGUAGGGAAUCUUCCACAAUGGACGAAAGUCUGAUGGAGCAACGCCGCGUGAGUGAAGAAGGGUUUCGGCUCGUAAAACUCUGUUGUUAAAGAAGAACAUAUCUGAGAGUAACUGUUCAGGUAUUGACGGUAUUUAACCAGAAAGCCACGGCUAACUACGUGCCAGCAGCCGCGGUAAUACGUAGGUGGCAAGCGUUGUCCGGAUUUAUUGGGCGUAAAGCGAGCGCAGGCGGUUUUUUAAGUCUGAUGUGAAAGCCUUCGGCUCAACCGAAGAAGUGCAUCGGAAACUGGGAAACUUGAGUGCAGAAGAGGACAGUGGAACUCCAUGUGUAGCGGUGAAAUGCGUAGAUAUAUGGAAGAACACCAGUGGCGAAGGCGGCUGUCUGGUCUGUAACUGACGCUGAGGCUCGAAAGUAUGGGUAGCAAACAGGAUUAGAUACCCUGGUAGUCCAUACCGUAAACGAUGAAUGCUAAGUGUUGGAGGGUUUCCGCCCUUCAGUGCUGCAGCUAACGCAUUAAGCAUUCCGCCUGGGGAGUACGGCCGCAAGGCUGAAACUCAAAGGAAUUGACGGGGGCCCGCACAAGCGGUGGAGCAUGUGGUUUAAUUCGAAGCUACGCGAAGAACCUUACCAGGUCUUGACAUACUAUGCAAAUCUAAGAGAUUAGACGUUCCCUUCGGGGACAUGGAUACAGGUGGGUGCAUGGUUGUCGUCAGCUCGUGUCGUGAGAUGUUGGGGUUAAGUCCCGCAACGAGCGCAACCCUUAUUAUCAGUUGCCAGCAUUAAGUUGGGCACUCUGGGUGAGACUGCCGGUGACAAACCGGAAGGAAAGGGGGGGGAUGACGUCAAAUCAUCCUGGCCCCUUAUGACCUGGGGCUACACA
rnacentral:rRNA from 2 species